UACGUAGGGUGCAAGCGUUAAUCGGAAUUACUGGGCGUAAAGCGUGCGCAGGCGGUUUUUUAAGUCUGAUGUGAAAUCCCCGGGCUCAACCUGGGAAUUGCAUUGGAGACUGCAAGGCUAGAAUCUGGCAGAGGGGGGUAGAAUUCCACGUGUAGCAGUGAAAUGCGUAGAGAUGUGGAGGAACACCGAUGGCGAAGGCAGCCCCCUGGGUCAAGAUUGACGCUCAUGCACGAAAGCGUGGGGAGCAAACAGG
rnacentral:rRNA from 1 species